AAAGGUUUAGAAGUGGUCGUGGACAAUGUGUUCCCUGGAGUAGAGCAUAGGGAAUGCAUGCGUCACCUUGCUGCAAAUUUCAUGAAGAAAUUCAAAGGAAAGGUGUAUACCGACAAUUUAUGGCCAACAUCUUUGACUUGCAGUGUGAAGAAGCACAACUACCACUUGAGGCAGUUAUACAUGAAUCCCAAAGUGAAAGAAUACUUGGAAACACACCACUCCAAGUUAUGGGCCAGAAGCCAAUUCAUUGAACUGAGCAAAGUUGACUAUGUGCACAAUAAUCUAGCAGAGUCUUUCAACUCAACGAUCCGGAAA
rnacentral:rRNA from 1 species